GAUGAACGCUGGCGGCGUGCUUAACACAUGCAAGUCGAACGGGAUCCUGCGGGCUUUGCCUGCGGGUGAGAGUGGCGAACGGGUGAGUAAUGCGUGACCAACCUGCCCCAUGCUCCGGAAUAGCUCCUGGAAACGGGUGGUAAUGCCGGAUGUUCCCGCGCCCCGCAUGGGGUGCGGGGAAAGUUUUUGCGGCGUGGGAUGGGGUCGCGUCCUAUCAGCUUGUUGGCGGGGUGAGGGCCCACCAAGGCUUCGACGGGUAGCCGGCCUGAGAGGGCGACCGGCCACAUUGGGACUGAGAUACGGCCCAAACUCCUACGGGAGGCAGCAGUGGGGAAUAUUGCACAAUGGGCGCAAGCCUGAUGCAGCGACGCCGCGUGCGGGAUGGAGGCCUUCGGGUUGUAAACCGCUUUUGAUCGGGAGCAAGCCCUUCGGGGUGAGUGUACCUUUCGAAUAAGCACCGGCUAACUACGUGCCAGCAGCCGCGGUAAUACGUAGGGUGCAAGCGUUAUCCGGAAUUAUUGGGCGUAAAGGGCUCGUAGGCGGUUCGUCGCGUCCGGUGUGAAAGCCCAUCGCUUAACGGUGGGUCUGCGCCGGGUACGGGCGGGCUGGAGUGCGGUAGGGGAGACUGGAAUUCCCGGUGUAACGGUGGAAUGUGUAGAUAUCGGGAAGAACACCAAUGGCGAAGGCAGGUCUCUGGGCCGUCACUGACGCUGAGGAGCGAAAGCGUGGGGAGCGAACAGGAUUAGAUACCCUGGUAGUCCACGCCGUAAACGGUGGAUGCUGGAUGUGGGCCCGUUCCACGGGUUCCGUGUCGGAGCUAACGCGUUAAGCAUCCCGCCUGGGGAGUACGGCCGCAAGGUUAAAACUCAAAGGAAUUGACGGGGGCCCGCACAAGCGGUGGAGUAUGUGGUUUAAUUCGACGCAACGCGAAGAACCUUACCUAGACUUGACAUCUCCUGCAUUACCCUUAAUCGGGGAAGUUCCUUCGGGGACAGGAAGACAGGUGGUGCAUGGUUGUCGUCAGCUCGUGCUGUGAGAUGUUGGGUUAAGUCCCGCAACGAGCGCAACCCUUAUCAUUAGUUGCUAACAUUAAGUUGAGCACUCUAGUGAGACUGCCCGGGUUAACCGGGAGGAAGGUGGGGAUGACGUCAAAUCAUCAUGCCCCUUAUGUCUGGGGCUACACACGUGCUACAAUGGUGGGAACAAAGAGAUGCAAGACCGCAAGGUGGAGCCAAACUCAAAAACCCAUCCCAGUUCGGAUUGUAGGCUGAAACUCGCCUACAUGAAGCUGGAGUUGCUAGUAAUCGCGAAUCAGAAUGUCGCGGUGAAUACGUUCCCGGGCCUUGUACACACCGCCCGUCACACCAUGAGAGUCGGCAACACCCGAAGCCCGUGAGGUAACCUUUUGGAACCAGCGGUCGAAGGUGGGGUUGAUAAUUGGGGUG
rnacentral:rRNA from 1 species